rnacentral:lncRNA from 1 species
GAGAUUAAGGAAUCCAGUGAACAAACACAAGUCAAUCACAUUUACUACGGAAAACAAUUACUCAAUUCAGCGAGAGGAAGAAUAACAUCUACCGGAGUUCUAGCCUUCCAUUCUGAAGGGGCAUGGAGAGGGGACGAGGUUUCUUCCUCAUCUCAGAUGGAUCCUUUGCAGAAUUCAUGCUAAUGAAGUAACCUGUGAAGCAAGAAAUUGGGAACUCCUAAAGGCUUCACUAGCCAGGACUAAGCACUUCAAGCAGGCAAAGGGGCAGAUACUCAGAAAACCAGUGAAGGCCGGGGGGACACCAACAGCGUUUCCAGGGUUGUGAGUUAAAAAGACUGGAAUUUACACCACUGGCUCCCCUGCUUCUCAGGCCUUCAGACUUGGAAUGAAUUACAC